rnacentral:rRNA from 1 species
CAGCAGCCACGGUAAUACGAAGGGCGCAAGCGUUACUCGGAAUUACUGGGCGUAAAGCGUGUGUAGGUGGUUGUUUAAGUCUGUCGCGAAAGCCCUGGGCUCAACCUGGGAAUUGCGAUGGAUACUGGGCGACUAGAGUGCGGUAGAGGUUAGUGGAAUUUCCGGUGUAGCAGUGAAAUGCGUAGAGAUCGGAAGGAACAUCUGUGGCGAAGGCGACUAUCUGGGCCAACACUGACACUGAGACACGAAAGCGUGGGGAGCAAACAGGAUUAGAUACCCGAGUAGUCCCUGUCUCUUAUAU